rnacentral:rRNA from 1 species
UACGUAGGGUGCGAGCGUUACUCGGAAUUACUGGGCGUAAAGCGUGCGCAGGCGGCGCGUUAAGACAGGUGUGAAAGCCCCGAGCUUAACUUGGGAAUUGCGCUUGUGACUGGCGUGCUGGAGUGUGGCAGAGGGAGGUGGAAUUCCACGUGUAGCAGUGAAAUGCGUAGAGAUGUGGAGGAACACCGAUGGCGAAGGCAGCCUCCUGGGCCAGCACUGACGCUCAUGCACGAAAGCGUGGGGAGCAAACAGG